AUACAUAUCAAACACUCGAACCUCGCAAUUUGUAAAGGUCCAGUGUGCUACAGUACCCCGGCGAAGAUCCCUCCGGUGGUAGUGCCAAGUGCCUCUCCCGGUAGACGGGAUAUGUGGAUUGUAAGGUUUGGGGUUAACAAGGGUUAACCGAGAUAAUUGGGUAAAGGUCAAAGGGAAUGUGUGAAAGCAUGCAUUAUGAGCUAUGAAAUCGGUAUCCCGGUCAAAUGGAUUUAAGGCCGAGGUGCAUGUGAGACGUCCUUCACCUUCAGCCUGACAGAGUGCGGAUUAUCCGCAGUUGAUUGACUCAAGACCGAGUCAAGUGGCAUAGUUGGCUAAGGUAAGG
rnacentral:lncRNA from 1 species